rnacentral:rRNA from 1 species
AGAGUUUGAUCCUGGCUCAGAUUGAACGCUGGCGGCAGGCCUAACACAUGCAAGUCGAACGGUAACAGGAAGCAGCUUGCUGCUUCGCUGACGAGUGGCGGACGGGUGAGUAAUGUCUGGGAAACUGCCUGAUGGAGGGGGAUAACUACUGGAAACGGUAGCUAAUACCGCAUAACGUCGCAAGACCAAAGAGGGGGACCUUAGGGCCUCUUGCCAUCGGAUGUGCCCAGAUGGGAUUAGCUAGUAGGUGGGGUAACGGCUCACCUAGGCGACGAUCCCUAGCUGGUCUGAGAGGAUGACCAGCCACACUGGAACUGAGACACGGUCCAGACUCCUACGGGAGGCAGCAGUGGGGAAUAUUGCACAAUGGGCGCAAGCCUGAUGCAGCCAUGCCGCGUGUAUGAAGAAGGCCUUCGGGUUGUAAAGUACUUUCAGCGGGGAGGAAGGGAGUAAAGUUAAUACCUUUGCUCAUUGACGUUACCCGCAGAAGAAGCACCGGCUAACUCGCGUGCCAGCAGCCGCGGUAA